rnacentral:rRNA from 1 species
CGGGAAUUUUGCCCAAUGGACGAAAGUCUGAGGCAGCAACUCCGCGUGAGGGACGAAGGCUCUAGGGUCGUAAACCUCUUUUCUCAGGGAAGAUCCAAGACGGUACCUGAGGAAUAAGCCACGGCUAACUACGUGCCAGCAGCCGCGGUAAUACGUAGGUGGCAAGCGUUGUCCGGAUUUACUGGGCGUAAAGAGCGCGCAGGCGGCUGGUCAAGUCCGAUGUGAAAUCUCCCGGCUCAACUGGGAAACUGCAUCGGAAACUUAUCGGCUUGAAGGUGGGAGAGGGUAGUGGAAUUCCCGGUGUAGUGGUGAAAUGCGUAGAUAUCGGGAGGAACACCAGUGGCGAAGGCGACUACCUGGCCCAUUCUUGACGCUGAGGCGCGAAAGCUAGGGGAGCGAA